GCACUUGGGCAGAGCAGUCGUGCUUCCGGGUCGCGCCAGCUCCCCGAGUUCUGCGGGCUGCACAUCCCAGGUCCAGCACACGCUCUUGAGGAAUUCCUAGACUGCAGGGCCUGCAGCCUGGAGGGGGAAUGUCUGGUGCCUGCUGCCCGCAGGCCGCGCAGGUCACCUGGCUCGGGUUUGCGGCCGCAGCCACGCUGCUCCGCAGCUCGGUGUGCACCCCGAAGCCCGCAACGCGUGGACCGGCUGGCACUUCGCGACUCGAGCAGGCCGGGGCAGCUUUCCACGCAGCGCUGCGGGAGGAGUCGCACGAUGGCGGCCCAGUUCCCCAGACUGUAGCCCGCAGGAGCACGGCCUCCAGAACAGGGAGUGGCAGCUCAGGCUGUGCGCAGGGGACACAGGGCGGCUGGCGGUGGAGGACUUGACCUGCUUUCUCUGAAGAGCUGGAAAGCAGCCCGACGGACGGACCAGAGGCCUUGUGGACGCGAGGAUUGGUGUCCGGCUGGAGUGGACCCAAGAAAAAGUCUGGAGACCACCGACCCAUCUGCUAAAAACACAUCGCGCUUUUCCAGGGAAGACAUUUUAUCCGAGAGACAGAGCAACCGAAUCAAAUCAAAGUGCUGAACCCGUAGGCCAUCGCUUACAGAGAUAAUUCCAAAAGUCCCUGCACCAUCACCAUCACACCUGUUUCGUGCAGACUGAUGAUCAAACCCAGGGUUUUGUGCGUGCUUGGCGAGCUCUCUUUCAGCUAAGACAUAGCCUAAUUGUUCUAACUUCUUAACCAAAUGGAAGUCAUCAUAAAGUAAAGCAACCAAAACCUGGGAAAUAAGCUCUAUAGAAUGUCUUCGAAUUGGUGCACACCAUUUCUCCAAAGAAGCAACGAGAAAUAGAGGGAAUAUUUUUCCUUUCCUCCUACCAUACUCCUUCCUCCCACCAUGCAGAACAUGCUGGCUUCAAACUUAGAAGUGAUCCACCUCUCUGUCUCUGCUUCUAGAGUGCUAGGGUCGUGAGCAUGGUACACCUUUACCAAAUGUCCUCUUUUAUACUUCUCCAACCCUCAUACUAUUGCAUCCCUUUUAUAACCAGGGCUGCUCUGGAGGGGAAAAAAUAUGAGUUCAGUUAUCUGCAACCAGAGCAAAGUUGAUUUAUUUCUUCUGCUUGUUUAAACUGAUUUUUACUUUCUAGUUUGCCUUAUAUUUGUUUAUUUAAUUUCUCCACCUUAGAAUCAGUUCUUAUACAAUCUACUUACAUAUAUUCCUUCAAAGUAAGCUAAGUGAAAAUGAAAACAAAAACAAAAACAUUAGCUCAUGUGCAAUGGCUAACCAGACCCUGGAAAUCAGUAUACAAAACAUCAAAUAUGAAUCUUUUCCAUCAAAUACCACCAAACUUGUGUUUAGGAUAAGGAAUUCCACUGCCCCAAACUUGUAAGACUUUUAUGCAAAUAUGUGCAUCUCCCUAUUCCCUGUCAAACCUUUCUUCACAGAAAGACUCAUUACUGUAUUCCAGGUAUAUGAUGCCCUAGAGUAGUGAUCCCUUUCCCUUUUCUUCAUUUCCUGUGCACCAAUUCUUUCCAUACCAGCUAAGUGAAUUAAGACUGUGAGGUCAGACCCCAGCCAAUGGAAAAAAGACACAGUCACCACCUGUUAGAAUAAAAACAAGUGCAGUUCCUGUUUCAGAGUAUUUGCUCUUCACAAGUAAAGUUUGCCUUGUCCAGACACUUCAGUUGGAAUGGUGGUCACUUUCUUUGCAACCUCAAACUUAUGUUUUAGGGGAGGGGUUAAUUUAUUCUUCUUUCACACAUUAUAUCCCAACAGCACUUUCCCCUUCUUCCUCUCCUCUGAAUUCCUCUCAUCAACCCCCCUUCUCUCCAAUGUCCACACCUUGGUUUCCAUUCACAAGAAAGUAGGCCUCCCAGGGAUAUCAACCAAAACAGCACAACAAGUUACAAUAAGACUAGGCACAAACCCCUGAUAUUUUAUGGGAUAUUUAAGUAUGUAAAGAUGUGUUACAUUUGUUUAUGCUGUGGACUAUUUAGCUGAGCAUAGGUGUGUUACAUUUGUUUCUUCUGCAUUUGUCUAUGUGAGGCUGUGUUACAUUUGUUUCUGCUGCAUUUGUUUAAUUAUGAAAAGAUGUGUUGCUGUUUCGCCUUGCCUGCCUAAGGCACUUGAUCUGUCUAAUAAAAAACUAAACAUCCGAUAGGUAGGCAGGGAAAUGAUAGGUGGGACUGGGGGGGCAGAGGGAAUAAACAGGAGGAGAAAUCUAGGCUAUGGAGAACAAAGGAGACACCAGGGCCAGAAGCCAACUAGUCAGACACAGAGACAUCAGGAAAGUAAGGCUCACAGAAAGGCAAGGUGUUUGGGGAAUAGAUGUUAAGAAUGGAAACACUUAGUGGAAACUCCCUGGAAUCUAUAAGAGACCCUAAUAAACUCUCCUAGUAAUGGGGGGGCAUACAGAGCUGGAACCAGUCAUUUUCUAUAACGAGGUAAGGGUCCCAGCAGUGAGACUGAAGAAGAGGCAGAGAGCCAUAGACAAAACACUAGACAAAACCAGAUGCAGAGAGCCAUAGCCAAAACACUAGGCAAAGCCAGAUGCAGGGAGCCAUAGCCAAAACACUAGGCAAAGCCAGGGGAACCCCCAUAAGAAGGGGAGGAAGGAUUGUAGGAGCCGGGGAGAUGUGGGGGUCAAGGACACCAAGAGAGAUGGUCCACAGAAUCAACUGAGCAGAGCUCAUAGGGGCUCACAGAGACUGAAGUGACAAUCACAGAGCCUGUGUGUGUCUGAGCUAGGUCCUCUGCAUGUGUGGUCGUAUAGCUUGGUGUUCUUCUGGGACUCCUAACAGUGGAAGUGAGGUGGGGGGCUGUCUCUGACACUUUUGCCUGUGCUUGAGACCCUUGUCCUCUUACUUAGAUUGCCUCUUCUAGCCUUGAUAUAAGGGUUUGUGUCUAGCCUUACUGUAAUUUUUUGUGCCAUGUUUGUUUUAUAUCCCUGAGAGGCCUACGCCUCCCCCCCCCCUUUUUUUUAAAAAGAGAAAUGGAGGAGGAGGAGAUCUGGGGGAGAGGUAAAAGUGGUGGGCUGGGAGGAGUGGAGCUAUGAGAAACUGCAGUUGGGAUGUAAUUGAAGAGCCAAAACUCCAGAACAACCCUUCCCCCAGCCUUCACUCCUAGAGACUAUGUUGUAUGCAACAGGCCUAGGACCAAAACUGAACACAAAGGAACUCCAAACCCCCCUAGCCUCCUGGAUCGUAGGGACUGUUUGACCACAAAAGAAACUCCCCUGUUGGGGGCUGGAGAGAUGGCUCAGAGGUUAAGAACACUGACUACUCACUCAGAGGUUCUGAGUUCAAUUCCCAGCAACCACAUGGUGGCUCACAACCAUCUGUAAUGAGAUCUGGUGCCCUCUUCUGGUGUACAUGCAGGCAGAACACUGUAUCCAUAAUAAACCUUAAAAAAAACUCCCCUGUAGUCUCCAGAAAAUUCAAUUCUGAAAGAUAUUAGUAUAAUAGACCACCUGCAAGCCAUAGAAACCACAGAAUGUUCCCUCCCAAUACCAGCCUAUGAGAAAAAUGGGUACACAGGUAUUACACGCCAAGAACAUGACUUUGAAAAAUCUCUUGAUUGUUCCCCAAAAGUCAACCAAUCAGAAACCAACCUGUGCCUACAGAUGCAAUCCUGUGACUUUUGUCUUUAAAACCUAGCAGUACACAGGGACCUUCACCCCCUUUGGAUGCUGCUGCAUCAGCUUGCUAGACGGGGUUCUUCCCAUGCAAGGAUAGAAUAAUCAACAAACCUUGUGAAUUUGCAUCGGUGGUCUGUCUCUCUGGUCUCUUUGGGGAUCCUUGUGACUUGGGCACAACAGUAAUGUGUAAAGCAUAGAAAUUAAAAAAUAAUUGAAGCAUCA